GGGCGGCCGGGCGGGAGGGGGCGCCCAACGGCCGUGUGGGGGCCGCGAGGGGGCCGUGAGGGGACCGUGAGGGGCACCUGCCGCCGCCCCGUCCCGCCGUGGGGGCGGGUGGCCGGGAGAUAAGGCGGGUGGUGCCGCGGGACGGCGGCGGGAGCUCUUGCAUCAGGCUGCCGCUGCCGGCCGUCGGCGUUCCUCACAGCCCGUCAUCGAUGUAUUGCUUCGCGCUGGCUCCCGUGCGCGGCUGGUGGCGUUGCCAAACACAGGAAGGGUGUGUGUGUGUGUGUGUGUGUGUGUGUGUGUGUGUGAGUGUGCGAGGGACUUGUUGGUGUGUUUGUGUCGAGGGCUCGCUUGAGCUUGGCCACAAGGAGAUCACGUACAGGAGCUGUGCUGAUCUGUGCUGGUCUGAUGCCUGGCGCGGCGGCACUCAACGAGCAGCGGUGGCUGACGAGACCCUGGAGCUGAAACAGCGGCACGGAGCUCGCACCACGACAGCGGUGAUGUCACGGUGUGCUGACAGCAGAAAUUCUGCCAGGGCAAAGUGCGUGAGGCUGUGUAUUGAAGGGAAGAGGGUGAAUAAUACCAGUUUUCAAAGUUGUGUGAGCAGAUGUGGAAAAAAAGGUGACAUUUGUGAUUUGAUCCUUCAGCAUUUUAGUGUUGUUAUCUUGCCUCUUGGAAAAUAAAGUUAAUUCUUAGGAAGUAUAGUUGGUUUUAAAAUGACACGUAUAUAAAUAAGCUAUACUAGUGGUGGUGGUCUGUUCAGGUAGAGUAAAUAGGACUUUAUACAACUGGCUGGCAUGACAGCUCUUUGAGCCUCUACAAAAUCGGAAGAAUAUUCCGUCAUAAACAAAGAGCUACAUGUGGGAGUAGAGGUUGCUCAAUUAAGUUUGCCUAAUUGUCAGAAACAAAUUAGAAGCAGCCCGAAACACUUGCAAAGGAAAUGCACAGUGUAAUGCACUGCACGAUGAUUUUUUUUUUUCUUAUCUUUUAAACAGUUUUCCGGGUGUUGCAGCAUAAGAACACCUGGUCUGGGUGUUCCAGGAAAGUUGCCCCUGGUACACAGCAGGCUCUGAAUUCAAGCUGUGUAACUGUACGUGUUUUCUCUGUUGUCCUUCUUUCAUAAACUGGGACUUUGGUGCUCUGGUAUUAGAGGCCAUUAUGUGGGAUUAAGUUAACACAGGUGCAGCAGUAUAGGAGAAGAAUUGCCUGACUUCCCUGAUGCAGAGCAAAGGUUUCUAAUACCUAAGGGUAGAGGAAAUGAUUUUUGCUUCUGUGUUGCUGCUUUUUCUUUGACUUUUUCCUUACCUACAGACCCAGUCUUAUGAAAUAUUUUGACCAUCUCGUAACAGGUUGUGUGUCUUCAGAAGUCUUGUCUACAGAAGUAGAGGGUGCUCAAGUCUUUUUGGGGGUAUGUAUACCCGUGUGUCUGUGUGGAAGAAUGAAUGUUAUUUUUCAUUCUACAAGGUCUGUCUUGCAGUGAGUAUACCUAAAUAACUGAUUAAAAAUGCAGAGGAGCCAAGGAGACCAGUGAAAUAACAACAGAAGUGUAGCUUUGAGAGCAAGGAUAGUGAGAUCAGUUUUUUGAAAUAAUGUUAGUUCUUAGAGAAUAUGAUAGUUACAGAAGUGUGGUACAGAUGUGAUUUUACUGUAUCUCUCCUUUGAGUAAAAGUUCUCAAAUAACUAGAAAAACUUAAUAAGUUUUAGGAAUUUCCCUUAGAAUUAAUAGUUCUGAUAUCUAGAACUCAUAGUCAAGAUGAGAAUGAUAAUCGUACGAAAGAUUUAGUCUUCAGAGGAAGGAAGACACUUAAAGUGGAACUGAAAAACUAAGAAAUUCCGCUUGCAAGGUGAGUAGUCAUGCUGUCACAGCAACAGUGUCAUGCAUUGUAGCACUGAGUAACCACCAAAGAACUUGUAUGUGAAAACCGCAUAGGUGGCAAGUCAAAAUAGCAUGAACAAAAAACAAAAGCUUCCGAAUGAUAAUCAAGUAUAGAAUAAAACUUCUAAUUUUAAAAAUACUAGAUGAGAUAACACGUCAGUGGUUUAUAAAAUGGAUGCAAACCAUUGUAGUGUAUGUGAUUUAAAUGUGCUUUGGUCUUUACUUAUAUACACAAUUACAUGAUCACCACAUAAUAAACAAGACCUUUUAAACAGGAAGCUUAUUGACCAGUGGAACAGUUCAUUUGGAAAUGUUUUUGAUUUUUAUAUUGUUGGUGGUCUUUAAAUCAGACCAAGUAAACAUUGUGAUAUCCUAUGGCUCAAGCAGAAGCACCAGACUUGCUAACAAUGAUUAGGAUAAACUUCACUUGUCUCAAAGUAAUUAUUUUUUCCUGAUUUUAGUGGUGUUACAAUUGUUAGGUUAAUACUCAAAUACAUCAGUGAACUAGUAUGGCUUGGUUAGUUGAGCUGUAUAACUGUGUAACUAUUUGUGGUUGUAUUUCUAGCAUGGUGAAAGAGAUUUAAAUUUGCAUACUUGUCCUUCCCUCGCCCCUUCCUUUCCCUGUCCCCCCCUCACCGUGAUGUGGUAAGAGGCUCAUAAUUACUCAGCAUUUCUUGGCUGCCACAUGACAGCCUUUUUCAAGCUCCUUUAGCUGGCUGAUGGUUCCAAAGCCCUACCUGUGUUGCUCAGAGGGAGUGGAGCUAGACUGUAGACAAAUAACCUAUUGAAAGGUCUCUAGCAUGUGGAGCUGUUUGUAAUUUCGACACCAAAAUGCCCAUGUAGGCUUAUAAGCUGAUGUCUUCUUUACUGGAGGUGCUCCUAUGAGCUCUGUUUCCAGAGGAACUGCGUUUUCAGUGGCUUUGUAAUUUUGCAGUAGUAGUGAAUAUGCAACAAGUUUUGGAAGCUUUGGCCUGAGUUCUUAACAUAUUGCAGGCCUGAAACAAUGGUUUGCUUGGUAAUCUUCCAUUAAAUAAUUCAGGAUCAGUAACAUUCUUGAAUUACUCAACAGGUUGUCAACUUUUUUUCUUUGGUGAAAAUUUAGCUAUGGGAAAACUUCCGUGUUGCGUUUUGCUUAAUUUUCCUUCAACUAUUCAUGCUUUUGACAUAUUUUUUUUUCAGGGGAAAAAAACCACAAACAAACAUAACAUAACACGACAUUGUGAUGUUGAGAUGGCUAUUACUAAACUAUGCCUGUAUGCCGAAAUAAAAUCAUUAUUAAUAGACAGUGGAAAUAGACCAAACCAAAUGUUACAUAAUGAUCUUUAAUUAAUCAAUAGGAAAGAAAAAAUACACAAGGAGUAAGUUGAAGAAAUAUUUAAAAGGAAGUGGGAGAUUCUGUAAUGUAAUUGGAAUGGAAAUAGCAUUGUAAGUAGAUACAAGUUUUUAUAUUUUAAAGCACAUAAUGUUUUUCUUCGGAUUUUCUUGUAACAUCAUCACAGGUAAUAAAGUAUUAGAUUUAUAAAUGCAAGUAAACCAGUAUUAGAUUUAGAUGUAUUAAAUGUACAAGCAAACCAGUAUUAGAUUUCUUUUAAGAGUUCCGGUUAUUACUAGCCUGACUAGUAAUAUUACUAGUACUUCUGGUACAUUUCCUUUGUACCUGAUGAAACAGCUUGCUGUGCUGAGGCUUUCCCUGAGAGGGGAAUGUCCUGUAUGAACAUCCAGGAAAGAUCUGCAAACUGCCACUGGAAGAGGAGCUGAUGGGGAGCAGGCAUGCAAGGCACCUCUGCGCUCCUGCAGGAUACCUACACUCCCAGAAAAUACAGUGUGUUCUGUACUAGUCAAUCAUGAUACUGAAGUUAUUAUUUUUUUUCCAGUUUAAAUGAAGCUAUUAAUCCUUACAGUACACAAUGAUUUUUUCCUCUGUAAUAACAUUUGUCACUGCAGUGUUAUAUAGUUUUAUUUUAGCAAUAAUAAAAUCUGCAUUGAAUUAAAUACUUACUCUUUUCUCCCAACUCAUUUCUUUAGAGCAAUACAGUUAAAUUAGCUUCUUCCUCAAUAGUUGCUUACUAUUUUUUUCUGAUUUUUCUGAGAUGAACAGAGCUUACUUGUCUUUCAGAGGCCAAUGGCAUAGAAGGGGUGUUCAUAGAGGAGCACAAAUGGUUAGUUUUUAACAUCUAUUUUUAUUUUUCAUACUUCUAAAUAGUUAUGGCUAAUUCAGGUCUUACCUGAUGAAUUACAAGUAGACAGCAAUGUCCAACAAAAAUGCUACAAAUUGAAUUCCUUUCAUGCACAAACUGUUGCACCUUCAUUGAAAUAAACAACUAUAUUUUUAGAACAUAUGCUGGAUUGGUUUUGCAGGGAAUUUUAGAAGGCAUGUUGUAAGUAUUGGAUUUUUUUUUUAUUUGUUUUGUUUUGUUUUGUUUUCAGCAGCUGGGUGCAUGAGGUGUAGGUUUUGUUGUGUGUGGUAGACAGUAGUGGUGGAAGCAGACAGAACCCAGCACUGCACAGGAAGUAGUUCUCUGACAGUUCCUAUUGCUGUCUAGUUCUGCAGAUUUUCCACGAGAGUGUUGAAGACAUAAGAUUCUUUCUAAGGAUCUCGAUUGUAAUUCUUUGAUGAUAUCCAUGUGCCAGAAAUUUCAACAGACUUUCUUCUAUUUCUUGUUCUUUUUUUUUUUUUUUUUUUUCUUUUCUCCAGAGGUAUGAUAAUGGUAAACAGGAGUGUGUUAAACAAUCAUAUCCUAUAACUUUGAAGAAGGAACUGAAGUUAUUCACUUCUGUUUAAAACUCAUAUAAAGUGUUAAAAGAUGUGCACCAUAUACCCCUAUGAUGAAAUCAGUCGACCUGGGAUUUUUGCAGCCAGAUCAACAGUUGUGGAAGUUGCAUAAUUCAUGUAAUUUUGUAGCAUUCCUUUCCUUGUUGUCAUACUUGUCUUUGAUGUUUUUUAACAUCUCCUUGUAAAAUAAACCCGUCUUUCUCUGGAAAGAUCUGCUUCCUUUAUACAAAUUGUGUUCUCUGUUUUUGUCCUGAUUAAGCAUUCCAAGAAGAUUGUCAAUAAUUUUGAGGUGAAGUGUUUUCUUCAGUGACAGUACUUGCACCAUCUUUCAAACGAAAC
rnacentral:lncRNA from 1 species